rnacentral:rRNA from 1 species
GACGAACGCUGGCGGCGUGCUUAACACAUGCAAGUCGAACGGUAAGGCCCUUCGGGGUACACGAGUGGCGAACGGGUGAGUAACACGUGGGUGAUCUGCCCUGCACUUCGGGAUAAGCCUGGGAAACUGGGUCUAAUACCGGAUAGGACCACUGCUUGCAUGGGUGGUGGUGGAAAGCUUUUGCGGUGUGGGAUGGGCCCGCGGCCUAUCAGCUUGUUGGUAGGGUAAUGGCCUACCAAGGCGAUGACGGCUAGGGGAGGUGAGAGCCUGACCCCCACCAUUGGAACUGCGACACGGUCCAAACACCUACGGGUGGCUGCAGUCGAGAAUCUUCCACAAUGGGCGAAAGCCUGAUGGAGCGACGCCGCGUGCAGGAUGAAGUUCUUCGGGACGUAAACUGCUUUUUGUUGGGAAGAAGUUAUUGACGGUACCAACAGAAUAAGGGCCUGCUAAUCUCGUGCCAGCCGCCGCCGUAA